CUGGGACUCUAAUUCAGACCUCU
rnacentral:snRNA from 1 species